AGUGAACGCUGGCGGUAGGCCUAACACAUGCAAGUCGAACGGCAGCACAGUAAGAGCUUGCUCUGACGGGUGGCGAGUGGCGGACGGGUGAGGAAUACAUCGGAAUCUACUUUUUCGUGGGGGAUAACGUAGGGAAACUUACGCUAAUACCGCAUACGACCUACGGGUGAAAGCAGGGGAUCUUCGGACCUUGCGCGAUUGAAUGAGCCGAUGUCGGGUUAGCUAGUUGGCGGGGUAAAGGCCCACCAAGGCGGCGAUCCGUAGCUGGUCUGAGAGGCUGAUCGCCCACCCUGGAACUGAGCCACCGUCCAGGCUCCUACGGGAGGCAGCAGUGGGGAAUAUUGGACAAUGGGCGCAAGCCUGAUCCAGCCGUACCGCGUGGGUGAAGAAGGCCUUCGGGUUGUAAAGCCCUUUUGUUGGGAAAGAACAGCAGCAGGUUAAUACCCCGCUGUUCUGACGGUACCCAAAGAAUAAGCACCGGCUAACUUCGUG
rnacentral:rRNA from 1 species